CUUAUUUUCAGCGAGACGGAGAAGAUAUAUCAGUCGUAGACGUCCGCAAGAAUUUAUUUGGUGUCGUGCAAACUGAGCUUGAAAGCAUACCAGCUGCUGACCCCGUAGGUGCCCAACCCGAAGAAAGACUAAUGCAAAGCCAAGAAAGUAUGCAAUUUGGGUUGGUUGGAUCACAACCGCUAGAGGCUAUAUUGGAUGGUUCACAACCACGGGAAUGAUUCAAAUGAUUGUCGUGGGUUGAUCCCGUGGUGUACCAGCUUAUAUCAAAUGUUAAUGAUGAGUUGGCCUACCAAUAUUUAAGUCACACAGAUGUGAAUAUUAAUCUUGUUGUUGGUGGUAUUUUGGGAAUAUUUAUACUUGUUGGUGUAAACAUUUAAUUUUGCCUUUGAGGAUGAGGGGGGAAUAUUAAAGCAAGUUAUUUAAUAUUGAGGUGGUGAAAAUUUUCACCGGCUAUUAAGCAUCUAUUGUGUAUUAUAACAGCAUGUUAAAUUCUGGCAA